UAUAAAUCACAUGCCAACAGGGGCGUAGGAAGCGGGGGGGCACGGGGGGCACGUGCCCCCCAAAUUUUUUUAAAGGACUAAAAGUGCCCUUUUUUGUGAUAAAAAGUGCCCUUUUUGUGUUGAAAAGUGCCCUUUUUUGUGAGGAAAAGUGCCCCUUUUGUAGAAGCUAAUGUCGCUGUAAAUACUAAAUUAAAACAAUAGGUGCCGUUUUUGUGUGGAAAUUUACAAUUUUUUUUUAAAAAUUAGAUCACAAACAUAAAUUUCGGUAUGAUACGACAACAUUUCCGGGAAAAAUUUUUUAGGUGCCCUUUCCGAUAGUAAUGUGCCCCUACAAGCCGGUGCCCCCCAAACUCCAGGUGCUUCCUACGCCCCUGCAU